rnacentral:rRNA from 1 species
CCCUUAGACGUUCUGGGCCGCACGCGCGCUACACUGACCAGUGCAACAAGCAUCCGUCCUUGGCCGACAGGCUCGGGCAAUCUUUGAACGCUGGUCGUGAUGGGGAUAGACUUUUGCAAUUUUUGGUCUUCAACGAGGAAUUCCUAGUAAACGCAAGUCAUCAACUUGCAUUGAUUACGUCCCUGCCCUUUGUACACACCGCCCGUCGCACCUACCGAUUGAAUGGUCCGGUGAAGCCUCCGGAUUGGCGCGCACCUCGGUGCCGCCGAGAAGUUGGCUAAACCUUACCAUUUCCAGGAAGGUGAAGUCGUAACA